AACGUAGGGGCUAGCGUUGUCCGGAAUUACUGGGCGUAAAGCGCACGCAGGCGGUCUGGAAAGCGGUGGGUGCAAUCUCGAGGCUCAACCUCGAAACUGCUCGCCGAACUACCAGACUUGAGCACGGGAGAGGACAGUGGAAUUCCCGGUGUAGCGGUGGAAUGCGUAAAUAUCGGGAGGAACACCGGUGGCGAAGGCGGCUUUCUGGCCAGUUACUGACGCUCAUGCGCGAAAGCUGGGGUAGCGAACCGGAUUAGAUACCCCGGUAGUCCCUGAG
rnacentral:rRNA from 1 species